rnacentral:lncRNA from 1 species
GGCGCUGUAUCCGACCCGAUUCGGCCUCUGGUCCUGGUCGACUCACAAGAAACCGGUGUCCAACUCGUCCACACACUCAUGGCCUGUGCUGAGGCUGUCCAGCAGGAAAACUUGAAGCUUGCAGACGCGCUUGUGAAGCACGUGGGCCUACUCGCGGCUGCCCAAACCGGAGCUAUGAGGAAAGUCGCCACGUACUUCGCUGAAGCUCUGGCUCGUCGGAUUUACCGAAUAUACCCUCAGGAUUGCCUCGAUUCUUCCUACUCGGACAUUCUCCAGAUGCACUUCUACGAGACCUGCCCCUACCUGAAAUUUGCUCACUUCACUGCCAACCAGGCAAUACUCGAGGCUUUUGCCACGGCGACCAGAGUACACGUCAUCGAUUUCGGGCUUAAACAGGGGAUGCAAUGGCCAGCGCUCAUGCAGGCGCUGGCACUAAGGCCCGGUGGCCCACCCGUGUUUCGCCUGACGGGUAUUGGGCCGCCGCAGCCCGAUAACACCGACGUUCUGCAGCAGGUGGGAUGGAAGUUGGCUCAAUUGGCAGAAACUAUUGGGGUCGAGUUUGAAUUUCGAGGAUUCGUGGCCAAUAGCCUGGCUGACCUCGAGCCGUCUAUGCUUGACAUCCGUCAGGACGAGGCCGUAGCGGUGAAUUCGGUUUUCAAGCUUCACGGUCUCUUGGCUCGAGCCGGGGCGGUGGACAAAGUGUUGUCAUCAAUCAAGGCCAUGAAGCCUAAAAUUGUGACUAUUGUGGAGCAGGAGGCGAACCAUAACGGGCCGGUUUUCUUGGACCGGUUCACGGAGGCAUUGCAUUAUUAUUCAAGCUUGUUUGACUCUCUGGAGGGAUCGUCCGGGCCGAGUCAAGAUUUGGUCAUGUCCGAGGUCUAUUUGGGUAGGCAGAUAUGCAACGUGGUGGCAUGUGAAGGUGGGGACCGAGUUGAGCGACACGAGACGCUGACUCAGUGGCGAGGCCGGAUGGACUCCGCCGGGUUCGACCCAGUCCACCUCGGAUCGAACGCGUUCAAGCAGGCUAGCAUGCUGCUUGAUCUUUUCGCCGGCGUAGAUGGGUAUCGGGUGCAGGAGAACAAUGGGUCUCUCAUGCUCGGGUGGCACACGCGGCCGCUCAUAGUCACCUCGGCUUGGAAGCUGGCGAGCUCAACGGAGUGAGUGAAUGAGUCAAUUUCAGUCGGUUCAGCGGCGGUGAUUGAUUGAACCACCGGGCACCCAGUGGGGUGGUUGGACACUGUGACCAUGUGAGUUGUGAAUUGUCAGUAGAGAGAGUGGGGACUACAAUGAAAGUGAAACUGUGAAACCAAUCCAAUCGAAUCAAUCAAGUGGUGUAAACUGUGUAGUUGUAAUUGUAAUGGUAGUUUUUUAUUUUUUUUUUCAUUUUUUUUAUGGGCCCUUUUGCAUAAGUUCCAAGUUGUAGAGUCCUUUCGACAAGGGGGACGAAUGAAUCAUUGUGACGAUGUGUAACUAUCUAUCUUUUCUGGAAUAAAAUGAUGAGCAUUGAUUCUUGAAUGGGAAAGAAACCAUUUUGCUCUCUGUAAAUUUGACACAUUA